UGCUGCUGCUUGUUUCGGCCCUUACUUUUUCGAGAACAUGAAGAGCAAGGGAUUUAUGGUUGCUUCUUCUCUGCAUUCCAUCGAUCUCUUUGUAAACCUGAGUAUGGGCGACAUCAUGAUUUUAUCGUCUCAAGGCUUCUUCUUCGUCUUUCCUCAUCCCCUAUAAUUCUUCAUUUUGGGGCAUUUGAAGCUUAUCCCUGUUCAUGAAGAUUAGAAUGAUCAUUCUAGAGUGUACAGAAAAGCGAGUCCUUUUGGGAAUCCAGGAAAAAUUAUCCCAUUGCUACAAUUGACAAUAGCAAAAAGUAAUGGAUGAGAAUGAAUCUUGGAUGGAACAACAAAAUGGGUCACUCUCAGCUUGACUGAAACACAAAAUGGGUCACUCAGCUUCACCGAAACACACUUAAAGGCGGAGUCUGAAGAAGAAAAAAGAAGCAAUGCAUCUCGACUUUUGGGAAGGAAAUAGGACUCUUUGUUGAGCAUCGUUUCAUUCCCAGAGUCAAUUGCAUCGUACGUGCACUUGAAGUCAGAGUAAUGUGUUCACACCAUCUGGUAGGAAGCCCAAGGGAGCAAACAACAGUCACUUGACGGAUAUGCCUGAUCUAAUUUGUAAUUUUCUAUGCUACAAGCUCCCACUUUUUGUUGAUAUUAUUGAUAUCACAGUGAAUAUCGUGUGGCCAUUACCAAUGGAUUUCUAGAACAGUCCUUCUUCUUCUUCUUCUUCUUCUUCUUCUUCAUCACAGAGGAUCUGGAAAUAUGAUAUGGCUAUAAGUUACAAUGAUAUGGAAACUGGCUCGUUUUAUACAAUUCUUUAGAAUGCUUUAGAAAAGGAAUGUUUCAGAAUCGGCAGCUGGUUUGACCCGUCAUUAGAAAUAAUUGAAGGAUCCCAGAUUUAUAUAGUUGUCUUCUCACAAAGAUAUGCUUUCUCACCAAGUUGCUUGGGUGAACUGGCAGUGAUGUUUGAGUGCAUGAAGGUACAAGGCCACAAAUUUCUGCCAAUUUUUUUCAAGAUCGAUCCGUCUAGAGUGAAAACAUGGCUAGCUCCAUUUCAGAUACUACUGGAACGCCCAGAUUUGGUCAUACAAAACUGCUAAGUAAUUAUUAAUGUUCUGUCAGUUUAUAUGUUGUUGGUUAUGGAUCUGAUUGUUCACAUCUCAUCAUCUUUAUGAUCGAUCUCCUAAUGCAUGUUCAACAAAUUGAUUAAAUUCUUCACAAUACAUGUUUGGGAUCUGGGAAUAAUAGACAGAGAGAGGGAAUAAGUAAUAUAUUAAAACCUUUCUGUUAAUUACAUGUUUACUCAGAUCUCUUCAAUUUCAAACAAGUUAAAUUCUAAUUUUAUGUACCAUCAUUUGCUCUCUCUUCUAUCAUUGUUGUCGUUUUCUCUAUUCCAAACUCUUUGAAAAGCAUGAUACAGUAUUGUAACUUUCUCUGAACUAAACUUUUAUUUAGGUAGAUAAGUCAAACAAGAAAUGUAUAAAAUUUGAAUUGUUAUCCGCUUUUUAUGACUUGUUAAUAAUGUGAGUAUAUAGUCUUAAGUUUUAUAUUUAAUAUUGAUGAUACUCAUUGUUAUGCUUGAUAGAACAUAGAAGUUUUUAAAUCCCCAACUUUUUGUUUUAUCAAGGAACUAUAGUUUUUCUUCAUAUAUAUUUUUUUGUAACAAACAUGAGUAUAUAAAUAUAUUAAAAGAUAAAAAAUCAGAGCUGAAUUACAUUCAUCCGGGGAACAAAAGUAGAGUUAGUAAAGAAAAAAACUAUCUAAAGCAACAUGAAAAAACAUCAGCAAUGAUAGUAUCAGCACUGUGUUGAUUAAGAAGAUCCUUGAAGAUGAUUGUUUUCUUGAAGCACACUAAAUUCAGCCCUUCCAAAGGAAAAUUAUAGUGAUGACCAAAAUUUGAAACCCACAAAAUUGCUGAUCUGAGAUAAAGCAGAUUGAAAUUUGGUUGACCUUUAGUGUGCUUCCUGAACACAAUACUGAUAAGCCGUUUAGAAUCCAACCAGAUUAUAUCAAAGAACAAUGUGGUAAUUUCCUGAAUUUGAAUCUCCUCUUUGUAAUUAACCAUCCUGGCCAAAACCUGCCCUAAACAGAGGGAAAUGACUGAGAAGGUUGAAUGAGUGAAGUAUGAUUUCUAUUCCCCCAAUCACAUAUCUGUGUUAACAAAUAUCUUUGACUAACAAAAUCACGCAUCAAAAUUUGAGGGGGAAUUAUUUUGCCUUGAUGCACAGCCAAGUUUCUAGAGAGCAAAAUCGAAUUUAAAAUAAUAAUGAUGGAUAAAACCAACUCUCUUGAUUUCCUUGUUGAUUAAGAGCAUUAAAAAGUGCAUAGAAGCCAAGAGAUUACUCCUUACUGCAUAAAAUCUGACAUUCUUAUUGAAAGUCGAGCAAAUCAACAAGCUUUAGAAUAGCUGCAAAAGGCAAAUACAUGAUCUAAAGAUUCCAUCUGAUCACGUCCAAAAGGACAAAGGUUGCUAUUAGAAAGAUGAAGCUUCCAGAGGACAUCUCCAACAGUUAUUGAAUGGUGAAUUAAUUUCCAAAUGAAUAAUAGAAAUUUCAUUGUAAGCUUCAGUUUCCAAAGGUAACCCCAAAUUGGUUGAGACGAUAAGGGAAACUGAAAAAUCAAUCUAUUCAGCGGUAUUUUGAAUCCAUCCUUGGUUGUGUAUUCACCAGUAGAAGAUCCAGUCUACAUUAUCCUAUCCUCUGGCCUAGUGGAAGGGAGAGGAAUGCUAAGGAUUCGAGAAGCAUUUUGAUCACUGUAAAGUGAUUUAAUAAGAUUCUGGUUCCAAGAAACAGCUUGCCCUGCCAUUGGUUUGGAACUGAAGCAAAUCUUUCACAAUGAAAGAACCUGGAUCAAUCAUAAAUAUACCCUCUGAAUUUUCCCAUCAUUCUUCUUCAUCGGCUGACAAGAGUACCAUUAUGUACUUGCUUGUUAUGAUUUAGUGAUGCUUACCUUAUAGAAAAGUACCGUUUGAGCCAAAGUGCAUUGAAUUGAAAUAAACAUACUGGGCCUCUAUAUCUUUUGUUAGGAGUUGAUUGUGGCUGCUUAUGUUUUGCGUAAUAGCAUUGUUAUUUUUUGUUCUUUUUCUCUUCUUUUCUCUAGGAAGAUCAAAGACGAGUUAUUGGCAAAAUAGUUGUGGAGGCAAAGAAAACUUUGGUUGAAGAAAAAGAGACAUUUGCAAUGGAUGUCCAGAGAAGUGUAGGGUUGUUAGCCAAGGGAUAUGGCCAUGGAGCUGUGAUGUGUUUGUAUUGAAUUUCUUAACUGAGGACAAUCGCUCAUUUGUUGAAGACCUUCACAACGCUCUAUAUAGAAAUGAUGUGGUUAUGGCUUCGCGAGAUUCUAUUGCUCAAGCUCCCAUGGACAAAUACAAGCUUUGUGUUUAUAUGAGGCCCAGACACGCUACUUGCAGGAACUGAACUUAAAUAAGCGACGCACAUCAUUUCUGCAAAUUUUUUUGCAGGUGGAUCCCUUUAAAGUACGUAAUGCCAGUUUUCUUUCUAGUAAAGAUUUGGUGGUUCAAGAUAAGUAGACCUUCUUCUCUAAUUGUUCUGUCCAUAUUUUAAAAUUUCUUCUUUCAAAGCAUUUUAAGGGAUAUAUUGAAGUAAAGAAAAUAAAUAAACUAUGAUUUAAUUAUCAUUUUAGGUGUGUCUUCUUUCCUUUAAUUAUUCUUAACUUGAAAAUACAAUUAUUCUCAACUUUUUUGCGCCAAAUUAUGAACUCAGUCCUUUAGUAUAGAACUUUUGUUUUCACGAAAUUAAACAUUUACUCUAAUAAUUAAUAAAGAUAAUAUUUCUCGAAUAAGUUCAUUUUACAUAAAUUUAGGCAAAUGAUUUGUAGAUUAAUGUGCAGUCAAUAUCAUUUUCUUAGCAAUCUUCUUCAUCAAUUGACAUCUGUUCACUUUGUUAGUAAUAGUGGCGCUAACUUUCUUUUCAUUCAACUUAUUCAGGAGAGACCAGCCUAUGGUUAUUCGUAAUAUUGUUAAGAAAUAUGGAAACUCCAUUUUGUGUGGAAAGCGUUAUUGGAAAUCAAGUCUAAACCAUGUUGAAGAAUUUGCAAAGGAAAUAGAUAAAUCAGGACAAAUAGCUACAGUUGGGAUAGGUUAUCGUCAAGUAGAAAAAUUAAUUGAUCUUCUAGACUUAGGCUCAAAGGAUGUUGUGCCAGUUGUAGGGAUUAGUGGGAUGGGGGGAGUCGGGAAGUCAGCUCUUGCCGGAGAUGUCUUUAACAAGAUCUCCCACCUUUUUGAUUCUGCCUAUUUCAUCUCCAUUCCACCAGGUACCAGCCAAGUCUAUCUCCUAAAUCAAUUCAUUUUAAGAGAGGCAUUUCUCCGGAUAGCUUUCCCAGAAAGGCCAAGAUUCCAUAGGAUACUUGUUUUUGAUGAUGUCGAGUAUCUGGAAGUUUUAGAUGAAGGAUGGAUUAGAGAGUUGUUUGGAGGGGAAGUAGAAUUAUCACAACAAGCAGAGAAGAGGGACUCCUUAGAAAGAUUGGAGUAGAUGAAAUUCACAAGAUGGAACUAUUGAAUCAAAAUAAAGCUCUUCGAUUUUUCUGUAAAAUUGCUUUCAAAAGUGAUAAACCAAUGAGAGGUUAUGAGGAGCUAACCCAUGAGGCACUUAAAUACGCUGAUGGCCUUCGAUUAACUAUUAAAUCAGUAGGUUCAACACUGGUUGGUCUAUGUGUUUCAGAGUGGAAAAGUGUGUUCGCCAAACUGCAAACGAUUCUUGACUUUUCAGUGCUUACGGUGCUUCAUAAAAGUUUUGAUGGACUCACACAUGAACAGAAGGAUGCUUUCUUGGAUAUUACAUUUUGUUUUGUAUGACAAGAGAUUGAUUAUGUCCAGAGGAUUUUACUUGGUCAAAAUGCGACAAUCAAAAGUCUUAUGGACAAGUCACUAAUAAACAUAUCAAACCAAAGAAUAAAAAUACAUCCUAUCCUACAACAAUUGGCAAAAGUAAUUGUUCAACGUGAAUCUUUUAUGCCUGGAAGGCGCAGUAGGAUAUGGAAUUAUGAAGAUUUUCAUCAUAUUAUGGAGACAAACAUGGGAAUUGAUCGUGUUGAAGUCAUAGUACUCUCAAAUGAAGAACAUCCACAAGGGACAGCAUUAAAUGUUGAAGGUUUAUAAAAAAUGAGGAGACUUGGAAUCCUUAUAUUUCACAAUGUGAAAUUUUCAUGAAGUCUUCUUGAUCUUUCUAACAACUUAAGAUAUCUUUUAUGGCAUAAAUAUCCAUUUAAUUAUUUGCCAUCGAAUUUUAAUCCAAAAAAUCUUGUGGAAUUGAUCAUGCCAGAUAGCAGCAUGACACUAUUAUGGAGAGGCGAAGAGAAAGGUAUUCCGCUGCCAACGAGCUUGAACCUUUGUGGCUCUGAAGAUCUGAAAAAGACACCUAAUUUUAGAUUGCUUCGACCUCCUGAGAGGUUAGACUUGGAAGGAUGUACUUCAUUGGUGCAGCUUCAUCCUUCUAUUGUGUAUAUAAGAAGGCUUAAGUUUUUAAUUUGAGAAACUGCACAAAUCUAGUGAGCAUCUCAAAUGAAUUAUUUGUCAAAAGCUCUCUUGAAUUUCUAAAUCUAGCUGGCUGCUCCAAAUUCGCCAAAUGUUUGAGGUUCAAGAGAUUAACAAUAAAUCGUUCUUCUAUUAAACUUAUGUGUUGGAAUUGUGGUAAUGGCAAUGUUCUCACUCUGAUUGCCCUUAUCCAUGUAAUGUUAAUGUUGCUCACGUUUGGGAUUUAUGUAGCCAAGUGUGUCAUGUAUUGAGAAAUGAGAUUCAUUAUAUAUCCUGUAUUCAUUCUA